UCCAUUGGUUUACCAACAUGAGGCCUCCCU
rnacentral:piRNA from 1 species